ACUUCCCGUAGAUCAUAAAACCAUGGUUUCUGUCGCACAAAACAAUAUAACUCAGAGUUUAUUUAUUUAUUUUUUGAACCAAAUAAUCUCAUUAAAUGAAAUAAACACUAAUAUUUCAGUCUGUGUAUUAGAGAUGAGGAUUUUUCAGUGAUUCGUUCUCGUAGUUGCAUCGUUACGCCAGUAGGUGGCGUCAAGUGAAUGAAUCUUUGAAUCAUUCGAAUCAACAGAUUCGUUCAAAACAUUGAUUCAUUUAAUAGGAAUGAAACACCGCUACGGUGUGUUACUACUAGGAGAUACUCGACGGUUGAUUAACAGUUCGCUGGUGGAGCAAAAAUACUCAAACUAACCGUCAAUAUUGUGUCUAAAAUGGCCUGUCCAUGCCUGUUAUUGUACCCGUUUGUGGAUCUUUCUAUCAGACUAGCGCUGUUCACAGUGUUCAGACUUUGAGAAUUGACUUUUGGCAUUACAACUGCUCUUAGACCGCGCCAACCCCGAGCACUUACAAAGAUCAUCAUGGAGUCAAAGCUCUUAACACCAAAAACAUGACACUGAUGGGCUGUGUCAGUGUCCACA